GUUCUCCCUUUGGCAGCACAUAUUUUAAAUUGGAAGGAUACAGAGAAGAUUAGCAUAGUUCCUACGCAGGGAUGAAAUGAAAAUUCAUGAAGUGAUCAUCAUAAGA